rnacentral:rRNA from 1 species
AAACCAGCACCUCAAGUGGUCAGGAGGAUUAUUGGGCCUAAAGCAUCCGUAGCCUGUUCUAUAAGUUUCCGGUUAAAUCCAUUAGCUCAACUAAUGGGCCGCCGAAAAUACUGUAGAACUAGGGAGUGGGAGAGGUAGACGGUAUUCGGUAGGAAGGGGUAAAAUCCUUUGAUCUAUUGAGGACCACCUGUGGCGAAGGCGGUCUACCAGAACACGUCCGACGGUGAGGGAUGAAAGCUGGGGGAGCAAACCGGAUUAGAAACCCGGGUAGUCC